rnacentral:lncRNA from 1 species
GAAAGGUCACCUAGAGCACAAGGUGCCCACUCAUCCAAGAAGAAGUGCAGAAAAUCAUCUGGUGGGCCUGGGAUAGCUGUGUUGUCGUGCCUGUUCUUACACACCCAGAACAGGAGCAGCAUUUAUAUGGCUUUGUCACAGGAUGUCAGAGUGAAAUGUUGCAGUUGUCUUUUGUGGAGUAAAGAACUACCCCAAAAUGUGGUAGUUGAAAAUGAUGGUGCUGUUUAUUUUGCUCAUGCAUCUGCCAUUUGGGCAGGACUCAGUAGAAACAGCUUAUCUCUCUUCCACUCAGCCCAAAGGCUGGAUAUGAGGGUCCGCAGAAGGCCUUUGUGCCUUGCAGUCAGUGCUGGCUGAUCUUCACCAGACGCCAUUAUGUGGCCUUUCCAUGUUAACUGAGCACCAGGGUGGCGCAACCCUGGAGAGUGAGCCAGGUCUCAUUUUCACAAUCUUGCCUCAGAGGGCAGGCAGUGGCACUUCUUCAGCAUUCUGUUCCUCAAGGCAGUUACAAGAGCACACCCAGAGAAAGGAUCAGAGAAAUAGACUCCACUUUCUGAUGAGUGUGGGCAAGGUUUUAGAAGAAUACACAGGAUCGAAAAUAUUACUGUAGCCUUGCUUUUUGAAAAAUGCUGGGUGGAAGCAGCCAAGAUGGCCGAAUAGGAACAGCUCCCGUCUACAGCUCCCAACGUGAGCGACGCAGAAGACGGGUGAUUUCUGCAUUUCCAUCUGAGGUACCGGGUUCAUCUCACUAGGGAGUGCCAGACAGUGGGCGCAGGACAGUGCGUGCAGCGCACCGUGCGCGAGCUGAAGCAGGGCGAGGCAUUGCCUCCCUCGGGAAGCGCAAGGGGUCAAGGAGUUCCCUUUCCUAGUCAAAGAAGGGGGUGACAAACGGCACCUGGAAAAUUGGGUCACUCCCACCCUAAUACUGCACUUUUCCGACGGGCUUAAAAAACGGCACACCAGGAGAUUAUAUCCUGCACCUAGCUCGGAGGGUCCUACGCCCAUGGAGUCUCGCUGAUUGCUAGCACAGCUGUCUGAGAUCAAACUGCAAGGCGGCAGUGAGGCUGCGGGAGGGGCACCCACCAUUGCCCAGGCUUGCUUAGGUAAACCAAGCAGCCAGGAAGCUCCAACUGGGUGGAGCCCACCACAGCUCAAGGAGGCCUGCCUGCCUCUGUAGGCUCCACCUCUGGGGGCAGGGCACAAACAAACAAAAAGACAGCAGUAACCUCUGCAGACUUAAAUGUCCCUGUCUGACAGCUUUGAAGAGAGCAGUGGUUCUCCCAGCAUGCAGCUGGAGAUCUGAGAACGGGCAGACUGCCUCUUCAAGUGGGUCCCUGACCCCUGAUCCCUGAGCAGCCUAACUGGGAGGGACCCCCCAGUAGGGGCAGACUGACACCUCACACGGCCGGGUACUCCUCUGAGACAAAACUUCCAGACGAACAAUCAGACAGCAGCAUUCGAGGUUCAUGAAAAGCUGCUGUUCUGCAGCCACCGCUGCUGUUACCCAGGCAAACAGGGUCUGGAGUGGACCUCUAGCAAACUCCAACAGACCUGCAGCUGAGGUUCCUGUCUGUUAAAAGGAAAACUAACAAAC